rnacentral:antisense_RNA from 1 species
GCCGAGUGGUGAGCUUGUGCAGGAAGUCGCUGCGCCGAUCGGCGAUCCUCGCGUGGAUCUUCGCGACCUUUCUGCGGGCCUUCUCCCGAUUGGCUGAGCCCUUGGCCUUACGGGACAGAUCCCGCUGGGCCCUGGCCAGGCGUUCCCGAUCCCGGCGCUCGUGCCGUGGGUUGGCGAUCUUCUCCCCGGUGGAGAGAACCACCAGCGACGUGAUGCCCGCGUCGAUCCCGAUUGCCGCGUCCAAGGCGGGCAGAGGCCUGACACCAGGGUCCUCACACACCACGGUGACGAACCAGCGGCCAGCCGCGUCGCGACUGACGGUUACCGUGGACGGCAAGACACCCUCAGGCAGAGGACGGGACCAGACGAUGUCCAGCGGCUCCGCCAUCUUGGCCAGAGUCAGCCUCCCGUCGCGGAAGCGGAACGCCGAGGCUGUGUACUCCGCCGAGUCGCGGGACUUCUUCUUCGACUUGAACCGUGGGUGCCUCGCCCGCUUCGCGAAGAAGUUCGCGAAGGCCCCCUGCAGGUGUCUCAGGGCCUGCUGCAACGGCACGCAGGAGACCUCGGAUAGAUAGGCCAGCUCCUCG